rnacentral:snoRNA from 1 species
AUCCCAUGUUGAGGACAGGCAGCAACAUAUUCCUGCAGUCUUUCCCAAGCUUCUGAGAUCGUCUCAUCUCUUGUUUGCUGAAAGUUGGAUAUCCUUCCACGAAGGGC